rnacentral:rRNA from 2 species
GGCGCAAGCCUGAUGGAGCAACACCGCGUGAGUGAAGAAGGGUUUCGGCUCGUAAAACUCUGUUGUUGGAGAAGAACGUGCGUAAGAGUAACUGUUUACGCAGUGACGGUAUCCAACCAGAAAGUCACGGCUAACUACGUGCCAGCAGCCGCGGUAAUACGUAGGUGGCAAGCGUUAUCCGGAUUUAUUGGGCGUAAAGCGAGCGCAGGCGGUUGCUUAGGUCUGAUGUGAAAGCCUUCGGCUUAACCGAAGAAGUGCAUCGGAAACCGGGCGACUUGAGUGCAGAAGAGGACAGUGGAACUCCAUGUGUAGCGGUGGAAUGCGUAGAUAUAUGGAAGAACACCAGUGGCGAAGGCGGCUGUCUGGUCUGCAACUGACGCUGAGGCUCGAAAGCAUGGGUAGCGAACAGGAUUAGAUACCCUGGUAGUCCAUGCCGUAAACGAUGAGUGCUAGGUGUUGGAGGGUUUCCGCCCUUCAGUGCCGAAGCUAACGCAUUAAGCACUCCGCCUGGGGAGUACGACCGCAAGGUUGAAACUCAAAGGAAUUGACGGGGGCCCGCACAAGCGGUGGAGCAUGUGGUUUAAUUCGAAGCUACGCGAAGAACCUUACCAGGUCUUGACAUCUUGCGCCAACCUCAGAGAUGAGGCGUUCCCUUCGGGGACGCAAAGACAGGUGGUGCAUGGUCGUCGUCAGCUCGUGUCGUGAGAUGUUGG